ensembl:lncRNA
CAUGUAUUCAUGUUCAAAGUCCUUCUUCUAAUGGCUCUGUGGCAGAUGGAUAUGAGAAGUGUUUACAGAACAUGUCUCGCCAUCAGAUGCCCUUGGGAACUGAAGUUCCACUUCAAAUGGUACAACUCAUAAAUAACAAUUGACUUUGUUCUAACAUUUCCAGGUUUCUACGUGGCUGAUGGAUACACCCCAUACCAUAUGACUCACACCAGGACUAGAAAUGACUCCCCUUCAACCAUCACAGUAAAAACAUCCAAAUCUCAUCUCUUGCAAAAAGAAGUCCUUCACAUAUUCAACUCCCACCAUAAUCAGAUUUAAUUUAAAAAAUCCUCAUUGUCCAGUAAAAAGUUUGUUCAAAAAUGCAGAAAAAACGAUCUCCUCUUCUCCCUUCAUUUUCCAAUUCAUACAAAAGUUGUGUGCCAUUGCUUUCUGACAUGUAACUGUCAGAGUUGAAGAAAAUCCAUGGGUAAUGAUAGUGGAUGCUUUUGUCCAUCUCAUUUAAGUGUCAUUUUUGUCAGACAGAAAUUGCACAUCACUACAUGGGUGAUACUGCAUCAAGUAUCCAAAUCUGCAAUGUGUGAAAACCUUGUUUCUCCGACUUGACUGGAAUAUGCCCUUAAUGAGCCAUUCAAAUAUCCAAAAAUGGUAUGAUUUUUUUUCUUAAAGAAACAAAGAGCACAUUCAUUCCUUAGUUUCAUUGGUUGGUUGUCAUUGCCAUGUUAUUCCUUUUCAAGACUCAUCAAGAUUGUGGAUCAGCCCAUUUGCAGUAGAAUGGCAGAAAAAGGCUUAAUAUUCAAACAAUGUUUGGUUUGAACUGAAUAUCCUUGCCCUGUUAGCAUGGGUUUGGACAAGCUGAACUAGAAUACACAUGAGCCAACAGAUGUUUAGUUAUUUUAUAGUAUACAUAAACCAAAAUAGUAGCAAUGACAGAAGCUAGAAUUUUGACUGACUGCUACAUAGGGCUGAGCGAUAAUUCCAUUAUCUUUCAGUAGCAUGUUCUUAAUCAUAAUUCAUUAUAAUGUGUAGUGUUGUAAUCUCUUGAUUUUGUCAUAAGACUUCCAUCUAGCAACAAAACAAGGUUUGAUAGCGCUUUGAGUGCGAGAAAAGCACUAUAUAAAUUGAAUUUAUUAUUAUUAUUAUAAUAUAUUAAAUUGAAUUGCACUUAUAUAGUGUCAGUACUCAUGUGUAACAUGAGUAACAUGUGCCGUGCUCAUUGUACAUACCGUUAUACCUGCAAUUAAUGGCUGUCCACAGAAUAACGCUGUUUGGAUGCAAAACUGCGUAAAAUUGUACUUGUAAUUACAAUACAUUUCAUCCAAAAAUGUAUGAAUAUUGAUCUGAUAUACCUGAAAUUACAACAUAUUUUCAAUGGUAACGUUUGUAAUGCAAAUUAAAAACAAUUGCACAUAUCUUUUGAAUAUUUUGUUAAGUCUUAAAAGUCCUAGUGUUAAUACCGCCCAGCCGUAGAUCUAGAGCACUUCAUAAGGCAUGGCUGAAAGACAACAGGGGGAAAAGUUGGCUGUGUCAGAUGCCAAAAAUUCACUUAGUAAAGUGGCCCCAAAUGAUAAGCUAAUACAUCUGUAAGAACCAAUACAUCUGUAAGUAACUGAACACUGAAACAGCUUUAAGUACUUCAUCCGAAUAGGAGGGAAUCCUUUUCAGACCAGGAUUCACAAGAACGAUGCCACUUGCAUCAGUGAGAUCCUGCAGUGCUUUAAAACCAUAUGCUAUAACAAGAUGCCCAGGAAGGGAGUUUAUGUAACUGUAGAGAGAUACUGGACUUUUUAACUAUUCAUGACAUAGCUACAGAAAUAUCUGCCUGUCCAUCCCUUAGUUUGGAAAAACAAUGGGAAUGAAGAGUAAGACGUGCAAAGCAUGCUAUGUACUUGAGACUGUUCAAUUCUGUUUGAUUGCUACUGGUUGGCAACAUUGUGGCAGAAACCAACAUAGUACAACAAGAUAAGAUAUAUCAAGAUAUAUCAUCUUGAAUCAUUUACCGUGUUUAAGAGCCUUAGCUUUUGGUUUCAAAUGAGGAAUGAUUGUGUACUGUUAUCACAAAUGCUAAACACAAACUUCUGAAGACAUCCAGCAAAGAAACUAUGAGAAUUAAAUAACAGAAAUUACCCCAUCAGUGGUUGUGCAACCAACCAUGAGUUGGUUUGUCAGUUGGGUUCAUCUUGUUGCAGUUCCUCUGUUGAUUUUCAAAAGACUAUGAGUUCUAACAAACUAUCACAUCGUUCAGGAAGCCUUGCAUGCCGGAGAACAUCUCCUCUCCUUCUAGUUUGAGCUUUUGGAGACCGGCUUGUCCGCGAUUGGUCCCUCCACGUGGAGUCCGUAUUUUCUGAGGUGAUGAUUUGCUGUGAGCCAUCUUCUUUUUUACACGCUUGUAGAUGGUGCAGCAGCCUGGGGCGGGGUGGCGGGGAGGUAAUGGCGUUGCCAGCCAGCGGUGCAGGCCCCUAUGGUGGGUCCUCUCCUUGAGAAUGGACAGCACAGCAACACCUAGAGGUGUGAAGGGAGGAACAGUAGAGGAGUUCAACAGACCAUAAGACAGCCUGUUAAUGUUAGAGAUAUAUGAUGAACGACAGAAAUGGGAUAUAUAUUAUGUGCCAAAGUGUAAGUGAACCCCCUGCUUCAGCUCGAAUACAAACACUGAGGCUGUCAAAAGUGUGUUUUGGGUAAGGGCUCUAGCAAGGAGAGUUAGCUUGUAAUCCCCCUGUGGUUUCGAACUUGGACAACUUUUUAGUACCGUCCUUGUGCAGGAGCUUUAUAAUGC